rnacentral:rRNA from 1 species
AGAGUUUGAUCAUGGCUCAGAUUGAACGCUGGCGGCAGGCCUAACACAUGCAAGUCGAGCGGUAGCACAGAGAGCUUGCUCUCGGGUGACGAGCGGCGGACGGGUGAGUAAUGUCUGGGAAACUGCCUGAUGGAGGGGGAUAACUACUGGAAACGGUAGCUAAUACCGCAUAAUGUCGCAAGACCAAAGUGGGGGACCUUCGGGCCUCAUGCCAUCAGAUGUGCCCAGAUGGGAUUAGCUAGUAGGUGGGGUAACGGCUCACCUAGGCGACGAUCCCUAGCUGGUCUGAGAGGAUGACCAGCCACACUGGAACUGAGACACGGUCCAGACUCCUACGGGAGGCAGCAGUGGGGAAUAUUGCACAAUGGGCGCAAGCCUGAUGCAGCCAUGCCGCGUGUGUGAAGAAGGCCUUCGGGUUGUAAAGCACUUUCAGCGGGGAGGAAGGCGAUAAGGUUAAUAACCUUGUCGAUUGACGUUACCCGCAGAAGAAGCACCGGCUAACUCCGUGCCAGCAGCCGCGGUAAUACGGAGGGUGCAAGCGUUAAUCGGAAUUACUGGGCGUAAAGCGCACGCAGGCGGUCUGUCAAGUCGGAUGUGAAAUCCCCGGGCUCAACCUGGGAACUGCAUUCGAAACUGGCAGGCUAGAGUCUUGUAGAGGGGGGUAGAAUUCCAGGUGUAGCGGUGAAAUGCGUAGAGAUCUGGAGGAAUACCGGUGGCGAAGGCGGCCCCCUGGACAAAGACUGACGCUCAGGUGCGAAAGCGUGGGGAGCAAACAGGAUUAGAUACCCUGGUAGUCCACGCCGUAAACGAUGUCGAUUUGGAGGUUGUGCCCUUGAGGCGUGGCUUCCGGAGCUAACGCGUUAAAUCGACCGCCUGGGGAGUACGGCCGCAAGGUUAAAACUCAAAUGAAUUGACGGGGGCCCGCACAAGCGGUGGAGCAUGNNNNNNNNNNNNNNNNNNNNNNNNNNNUGGUUUAAUUCGAUGCAACGCGAAGAACCUUACCUGGUCUUGACAUCCACAGAACUUUCCAGAGAUGGAUUGGUGCCUUCGGGAACUGUGAGACAGGUGCUGCAUGGCUGUCGUCAGCUCGUGUUGUGAAAUGUUGGGUUAAGUCCCGCAACGAGCGCAACCCUUAUCCUUUGUUGCCAGCGGUCCGGCCGGGAACUCAAAGGAGACUGCCAGUGAUAAACUGGAGGAAGGUGGGGAUGACGUCAAGUCAUCAUGGCCCUUACGACCAGGGCUACACACGUGCUACAAUGGCAUAUACAAAGAGAAGCGACCUCGCGAGAGCAAGCGGACCUCAUAAAGUAUGUCGUAGUCCGGAUUGGAGUCUGCAACUCGACUCCAUGAAGUCGGAAUCGCUAGUAAUCGUAGAUCAGAAUGCUACGGUGAAUACGUUCCCGGGCCUUGUACACACCGCCCGUCACACCAUGGGAGUGGGUUGCAAAAGAAGUAGGUAGCUUAACCUUCGGGAGGGCGCUUACCACUUUGUGAUUCAUGACUGGGGUGAAGUCGUAACAAGGUAACCGUAGGGGAACCUGCGGUUG